rnacentral:rRNA from 1 species
AGAUUGAACGCUGGCGGCAUGCUUUACACAUGCAAGUCGAACGGCAGCAUGGGGGCAACCCUGGUGGCGAGUGGCGAACGGGUGAGUAAUGCAUCGGAACGUAUCUUUAAGUGGGGGAUAACGCAUCGAAAGAUGCGCUAAUACCGCAUAAUCUCUGAGGAGAAAAGCAGGGGAUCGCAAGACCUUGCGCUUUUGGAGCGGCCGAUGUCUGAUUAGCUAGUUGGUGGGUAAAGGCUUACCAAGGCUUCGAUCAGUAGCUGGUCUGAGAGGACGACCAGCCACACUGGGACUGAGACACGGCCCAGACUCCUACGGGAGGCAGCAGUGGGAAUUUUGGACAAUGGGGAAACCCUGAUCCAGCCAUGCCGCGUGAGUGAAGAAGGCCUUCGGUUGUAAGCUCUUUCAGCCGAACGAACGGUUACGGUUAAUAACCGUGACUACUGACGUACGAAGAAGAAGCACGCUAACUACGUGCCGAGCAGCCG